rnacentral:sRNA from 1 species
CCUGAAGCUGCGGACUACAGCUCCCAGGCCUCUCCAAGCCCCUACCGCACAGGCUCAUAGCCCCAAGCCCGGAGGAGGUGGCUACAUUGUGUCUAUUGUAUCCCUUGGCUGGUGUAUUUGUACAUCUCUCGGGACGUGAAAUUGACAGCGAAAAGUAUGGCAGAUGAGCAAGAAAUCAUGUGCAAAUUGGAAAGCAUUAAAGAGAUCAGGAACAAGACCCUGCAGAUGGAGAAGAUCAAGGCUCGUUUGAAGGCUGAGUUUGAGGCACUUGAGUCAGAGGAAAGGCACCUGAAGGAAUACAAGCAGGAGAUGGACCUUCUGCUACAGGAGAAGAUGGCCCAUGUGGAGGAACUCCGACUGAUCCACGCUGACAUCAAUGUGAUGGAAAACACUAUCAAACAAUCUGAGAAUGACCUAAACAAGCUGCUAGAGUCUACAAGGAGGCUGCAUGAUGAGUAUAAGCCACUGAAAGAACAUGUGGAUGCCCUGCGCAUGACUCUGGGCCUGCAGAGGCUCCCUGACUUGUGUGAAGAAGAGGAGAAGCUUUCCUUGGAGUAAGCUACCUGUCCCCAGUCCCUACAACAUACCCUCCCUCUGACCCACAUACAUACCUACAUACCUACACACACACGGGCAUGUAUACAUACACAAAGCCUAGCCUGAAAGUCAGAGUACCUAGUUUUAGUCCCAGGCCUUUCAGUGGCUGACUCAUUGUGUGAUCUUGGGCAAGUCUCUGUGCCAGCUUGUUAAAACAGAAGGAGGAUUAUUAAACUGGAUGAAUUACUAGAUGAAUUAGAACAACUACUAGGUGGCUUUUUAAAUUCUUUGUGUGAUAUUGACAAUACAAGACUAUGUCUAUAACUCUUAAGAGAUCAUUUCCCAAGUCAGGGUCUAGAAGGGGAUAUCUAGAAACCUCUAAAAACACAAAAGACUGAGCUUUCCUGGUCUUCAGGAAGUAGGCUGGGACUUCAUCUCCUGGCUCAGAGUUAAGAACUAGGCUUCCCUUGCAGAGAGACAGAAUUUGACCUGGUAGAGGAAAUCAUUUCCUAAAGGUAGAGCAAGGUGUCUGUGGAGUUUGUGAGCUUCCUAUUCUUAGAGAUAUGUCACCAGAGGCCUUAGGACACUUAAUAGGAAUACUCAAAAGAGCAUGAGAUAGCAGAUAGGACUGAAUACCCUUUAAGGACCUUGCUAGCCCUAAGAUUUCUUGGUCUUCUUGGCCUAUCAGAGCUAAGGACCAAGAGGAUUAUCCUUCUCAUCAGACAUUGGGCCUAGUACCCAGGGACAAUAGCCUUGUGCUUGGGAAGGUGUGGGGACCUUCUAGAAUGAGCCACAGCUCAACCCUUGGUUGUAUGGCAUGGAGUCUUCAAGAGGAGCAAGGUUCUCGUUGCUUUCAGAAUGAUCUAGCCAGUGUCUCUCAUCUCCAAAGUUACUUUGAGAAGCAGAAAGCAGAAUGGCAGACGGAACCUCAGGAGCCCCCCAUCCCUGAGUCCCUGGCCGCUGCAGCCGCUGCCGCCCAACAGCUCCAAGUGGCUAGGAAGCAGGACACUCGGCAGACGGCCACCUUCAGGCAGCAGCCCCCACCUAUGAAGGUAAGUGAGCUGGGUAAUGGUUGUGGAGGAAGCAAAGUAUCCUCCCAUGGAAGGGCUGUGGAAGGCUAGUUCUGGGUCUUUGGCUUUAUUUAUGCUGGGCCUUCUUUUAAUAGCCUUUGCUUGUGACACAGUGGAAGGGGUGACAUGGGUGUGCUGUGUUGGACCCACAGGUUUUGUUGCCCCAUGUUCCCAGAGGUGUUAGAAUGCAGGGAGAUUUUCAGGCCCUGCUAAAGUGCAAUUCUAAAAGUUAGAAAUGACUCUUACACAAAUAUGUAAUUAGCAUGUAUCAUAAAUGAGGGAACCAGCAGGAUUAUAAAGCUGGUUCCAGGAGGAUUUGAGGAACAAAUAUCUAUAUAGUCAAGAAAGGAGAGGAAGGCUGAAACAAAUUUGCAAAGUUAGAUACAAAACUGGUUUACAUCCCACAGGACAAUAAAACUGUAACCUUUAUAGUUACUUUUUCUUCCAAACAGAAGUAAUUUGCAUCUCUACUGGGCAAAAGCCAUUUGCAGCUUAUCAGUGUAACAUCACAGAGCCUGGGUCCUAAUCAAUUGGUAAAUAGUCAAACAAAGAGACAUACUUCUAGAGCAGGGGUCAUCAAACUACAGCCUACAGGUCAAAUCUAAUCUGUUCCCUGUUUUUGUUAAAGUUUUAUUGGCCCACAUGCAUGUCUGUAUUUGCAAGCUGUUGCAAACAACAUGCAUACAAGCUAUUGUCUAUUACUUCUUUCAUGCAAAACAGAAUUGAGUAGUUGCAGCAAAGAUUAUAUGAUGUAAAAAGUCUAAAGUAUUUGCUGUCUUGGCCUUUCCAGAAAAUGUUUGUUGACCCCUAUUCUAGAAAAUUAAAUAGUCCUUAAGUGGGCCUGUUAGACAAUGCUUCAUUAUAAUGAUGAAUAGAUGUGUAGUUAUCAUUUUGCCUUACUUUCUAGUUUUGUAUACUUUUUCUCAACACCCUUCUCUGAACUGGGUUAUGUCCUUCCUUCCCAUCUUCUAUGGCAUCCAAGAAUACUUGAGUCUACUCACUGAUUAUUGCUCCCUUCUAAUGGGAAAUCACUUUGCUUUCUGGGCCCCUGGGGAAUCAGAAGUCUAAGCUGUUGCCUGGAAGAAUCUGACCACUAACUUUCUUUUUCCUGUGUCCCUCACCAGGCCUGCUUGUCAUGUCACCAGCAAAUUCACCGGAAUGCACCUAUAUGCCCUCUAUGCAAGGCCAAGAGUCGGUCCCGGAACCCCAAAAAGCCGAAACGGAAGCAGGAUGAAUAAAGAAAGGGAGAGCACAUGAAGCUUUGCUAAUUAUAACCCCUCACCUUGACCAGAGUCAUUGAUGUCCUGAUGUGAAACGACCCUUGCCCAACCCCACGAAGUCUCCUAUUUAAUGUGAUGGAAGCACAACCCCUCUCUCACUUUGCUCCUGUUUCUUUCUGCUCUUGGGAUUUCUGGUUUAGGAAGAGAUGUGGUUCAGGUGCUAAACAGUGUGUCUGAUGAUCCCUUCUCUCCCACUCACAUUUCAACCCCUGCCCUUGUUUGGAGCUAAGGGAAGGGCAAAAGGCUCAGAUAUGAUUCUCUAUCUCUUGUGCCUGAGGCCUGGAGCCUAAGGAGCUGUAGGGUCUGAGGGGCAGGGGAGGCCCAUAUCUUGUUUCAGGUAAAGGACCCAGUAUUUUCCCUCCUUGUACUUUUGCCUUAGGUUCUGAAGGGACAAUAGUCUUCAUGUUGGAUUCUCCAACAGGCUGGGUGCAUGUAUCCCCCUACUCUUACCCUCAUCUCAUCCUUAAGGCCCAUAGGUAGCUUGGACAGGCCCUCCUUUUCAUAAUCAUUUGGGAGGCAUGGCUGUAAUUCUUUAGCUUGCCCCACUUCUGUCUCCCAGACAUACUAAAAUUCUUAGGUACUAGGCUGUUUGUCUUGGGAUCUUAAGAUCAGUGAACCUUUCCCCAAUAUCUAGUCUUUGCAAAUUCUAGUAGAAGAUUUCCACAGUGAAAUCAGUAAGCCAGACCAACUCUACAUCUCCUGCCUAACCUACUGCCUAAGUCAUUAGGGCUGAGGGCUCAGCUGUAGGGGCUUCCUUAGGCUGAGAUGGCCCCCUGGCUGACAUCUGUGUUGGCUUUUGUUCAGAACCAUUACUCUGGCACAUGCUCAAGGAGUAGAUUUAGAUUUGAGUAAAUGCCAAUCACUUUACACGUGAAGGUGGGUGGGACUUUCCUUCCAUUCAUCCCUUGCUCUCUUGGAUCUGAACUCUUCUGUAGCCUCAGCUCAGGGCAGCUGCUGGCCUCUCCUGUCCUGUGGAUUGUGCAGGUGGCCUUUCCUCCCAAAAGAAAAGGCAUCAGGCUCCCCAAGCCCCACAGCUCUCCUUUCCACCAAAGCCAGGUUUCCUGGUAAGGUCACUCAAAGAUAAGGGAUGGGGAUGGGGGCUGACUGACAAAAAAUUUUAGCCCCAGGUCUCAGUACCUGGCUGGGGAGGGGGAUAUUUUUCCUUCCUUAAGUAGUUUUACAUUGCCACAGUGUGUAUGUGUUCACAAUAUAAAAUGUUCCUCUGCUCUUUG